GACGAACGCUGGCGGCGUGCUUAACACAUGCAAGUCGAACGGAAAGGCCCUGCUUUUGUGGGGUGCUCGAGUGGCGAACGGGUGAGUAACACGUGAGUAACCUGCCCUUGACUUUGGGAUAACUUCAGGAAACUGGGGCUAAUACCGGAUAGGAGCUCCUGCUGCAUGGUGGGGGUUGGAAAGUUUCGGCGGUGGGGGAUGGACUCGCGGCUUAUCAGCUUGUUGGUGGGGUAGUGGCUUACCAAGGCUGUGACGGGUAGCCGGCCUGAGAGGGUGACCGGCCACAGUGGGACUGAGAUAGGGCCCAGACUGCUACGGGGGGCAGCAGUGGGGAAUAGUGCAAAAUGGGCGGAAGCCGGAUGGAGCAACGCCGGGUGGGGGAGGACGGCUUUCGGGUUGGAAACCGUGUUCGCCUGUGAAGAACCGAGAGUGACGGUAAUGGGUAAAGAAGCACCGGCUAACUACGUG
rnacentral:rRNA from 1 species